rnacentral:rRNA from 1 species
GGGGAAUCUUGCACAAUGGGGGCAACCCUGAUGCAGCGACGCCGCGUGAGCGAUGAAGCCCUUCGGGGCGUAAAGCUCUUUCGACCGGAACGAUAAUGACGGUACCGGGAGAAGAAGCUGCGGCUAACUACGUGCCAGCAGCCGCGGUAAUACGUAGGCAGCGAGCGUUGUUCGGAGUUACUGGGCGUAAAGAGUGCGUAGGCGGUUUUCUAAGUUCGGUGUGAAAUCUCCCGGCUUAACUGGGAGGGUGCGCCGAAGACUGGGAAGCUGGAGUGUGGGAAAGGCAGGCGGAAUUCCUGGUGUAGCGGUGAAAUGCGUAGAUAUCAGGAGGAACACCGGCGGUGUAGACGGCUUGCUAGACCAUAACUGACGCUGAGGCACGAAAGCGUGGGUAGCAAACA